rnacentral:rRNA from 1 species
GACGGUACCUAACGAAUAAGCAUCGGCUAACUCCGUGCCAGCAGCCGCGGUAAGACGGAGGAUGCAAGCGUUAUCCGGAAUUAUUGGGCGUAAAGCGUACGUAGGCUGUUAGAUAAGUCUGUUGUCAAAGAGCGAGGCUUAACCUCGUAAAGGCAAUGGAAACUGUCUGACUAGAGAGAGAAAGGGGCAGGAGGAAUUCCAGGUGUAGCGGUGAAAUGCGUAGAUAUCUGGAAGAACACCAGUGGCGAAAGCGUCCUGCUGGAUCUCAACUGACGCUGAAGUACGAAAGCUAGGGGAGCGAAUGGGAU